AGAAGAAGAAAAAGAAGAAAGAAAAAAUUAGAAGCAUUGGAAAAACUGCACAGCAACUACAGGAUGUCCUGUUACAUUUAUCGGACUCACAGUGUGAAUGCCUCAGUCUGCAUGGAGUAAAACUUGCAACAUUACAGAUUCAGGGAACUGAUGGAGGGAAAGAGGACAAUCCCAAGGAGAAAAUACAGUGCAUUUUUAUUCACGCGGGAAGGUACACGUUGGCCGUCCCAGAGGAAGCUGAAUCUCCACGAGAUCAAGAGCCUUGUCCCAAACGGCCCAGCUGGAAGCCUGAGUCCCUACACUGUCCACAGCCACUCCUGGAGUUUAUUCAACCAAAACACUGUGAAGAUCCCUGAGGACAAACAUAAAUUACCCUUGUGCUUUUUUGAUCGU